rnacentral:rRNA from 1 species
AUUGAACGCUGGCGGCAUGCCUUACACAUGCAAGUCGAACGGUAACAGGUCUUCGGAUGCUGACGAGUGGCGAACGGGUGAGUAAUACAUCGGAACGUGCCUAGUAGUGGGGGAUAACUACUCGAAAGAGUGGCUAAUACCGCAUGAGAUCUACGGAUGAAAGCAGGGGAUCGCAAGACCUUGUGCUACUAGAGCGGCCGAUGGCAGAUUAGGUAGUUGGUGGGAUAAAAGCUUACCAAGCCGACGGUCUGUAGCUGGUCUGAGAGGACGAUCAGCCAGACUGGGACUGAGACACGGCCCAGACUCCUACGGGAGGCAGCAGUGGGGAAUUUUGGACAAUGGGCGCAAGCCUGAUCCAGCAAUGCCGCGUGCAGGAUGAAGGCCUUCGGGUUGUAAACUGCUUUUGUACGGAACGAAAAGCCCUGGGUUAAUACCCUGGGGUCAUGACGGUACCGUAAGAAUAAGCACCGGCUAACUACGUGCCAGCAGCCGCCGUAACAC